rnacentral:tRNA from 1 species
GGCCAGAUAGCUCAGGUAGCAGAGCACCUGACUAGAAUUUUAGAGGUCCCGGGUUCGAAUCCCGGUCUGGUCG